rnacentral:lncRNA from 1 species
UGGCGGACCUCGCCACGACAGGGACGGGCGUGGUUUUGGCGGACCUCGCCACGACAGGGACGGGCGUCUCGGGCGCGAUUUUAGGUGGACCUCCGCCGCCGCACUUCGCCGCCCCACGCGCCGCCGCCUCCAGCCUCGCCACCCCACCACAUGGUGUGUUGCGCCCGCCGCCAGAUCCGGCCCGACUCGUCAUGGAUCCGGCCGCCCCACGAGCCCCUCGGCCUCGCCUCCACCUCUGUCCACCGCCGCGACGCUCGCCGGCGCCGGAGCCGCCGUAGAUGGACCGGCCUCCUCCUCAGCCAAAUCGGGACCGGACCAUCCCGAUCCACCCCAUCCCUGGACCGGUGAAGAACAGAGGCUUUUAUGAAAAAACGAAACGUUUUUUUCACUUAAUGAAGGACCGCGGGUUGAUUUUGAAACAACAGGGGGACGUUUUUGCAAAACUGCCACCACGGACGACAGAAACAAUAUUUGCUUUAUUAUUAGGGAGAGAAAAGCUAAUCGGGCGAUCGAGUUGCAAACACAAGAAAGAAAGAAGCCCACCACAGCGAAUUCCCUCGUUCCCUCCUCGCCUCCUUCCCUAAACCCUCCCUUGCCGGCUACCAAGGCAGCGGCUCUGUACACCAGGCCGCCAAUGGAAGACGCAACGAAGCGGAGGCACCAGCCGGGCGCUCUCCCGGCGCGCCGCAAGGUCGUGGAGGAGCCCUUCGACCCGGCGCCACCUCCCCCCGCUNNNN